rnacentral:rRNA from 1 species
UACAGAGGUCCCAAGCGUUGUUCGGAUUCACUGGGCGUAAAGGGUGCGUAGGUGGUUAGGUAAGUCCGAUGUGAAAUCUCCAGGCUCAACCUUGAAAUGGCAUUGGAUACUAUCUAGCUUGAGGAGUGGAGGGGGGACUGGAAUUCUCGGUGUAGCAGUGAAAUGCGUAGAUAUCGAGAGGAACACCAGUGGCGAAGGCGAGUCCCUGGACACUUCCUGACACUGAGGCACGAAAGCUAGGGGAGCAAACAGG